UGGGGAAUUUUGGACAAUGGGCGCAAGCCUGAUCCAGCCAUGCCGCGUGCGGGAAGAAGGCCUUCGGGUUGUAAACCGCUUUUGUCAGGGAAGAAAUCUUCUGAGUUAAUACCCCGGGAGGAUGACGGUACCUGAAGAAUAAGCACCGGCUAACUACGUGCCAGCAGCCGCGGUAAUACGUAGGGUGCAAGCGUUAAUCGGAAUUACUGGGCGUAAAGCGUGCGCAGGCGGUUUUGUAAGACAGAGGUGAAAUCCCCGGGCUCAACCUGGGAACUGCCUUUGUGACUGCAAGGCUUGAGUGCGGCAGAGGGGGAUGGAAUUCCGCGUGUAGCAGUGAAAUGCGUAGAUAUGCGGAGGAACACCGAUGGCGAAGGCAAUCCCCUGGGCCUGCACCUGGACGCUCAUGCACGAAAGCGUGGGGAGCAAACAGGAUUAGAUAACCCUGGUAGUCCACGCCCUAAAACGAUGUCAACUGGUUGUUGGGAAGGUUCCUUCUCAGUAACGUAGCUAACGCGUGAAGUUGACCGCCUGGGGAGUACGGCCGCAAGGUUGAAACUUAAAUGAAUUGACGGGUCAUAGCU
rnacentral:rRNA from 1 species